AUCUGCAAGUCAAGGGGAGAGGCCUCAGAAGAAACCAAACCUGCAACACCUUUUUUUUUUGGCCGCACCAAAUGACUUGAAGGAUCUUAGUUCCCUGACCAGGGAUCGAACCUGUGCCCCCUGCAAUGGAAGCAUGGAGUCCUAACCACUGGAUCACCAGGGAAUUCUCAAACCUGCAACACCUUGAUCUUAUACUUCUAGCAUCCAGAACGGUGCUCUGAGGAGCAGAUGCCAAGACAGCAUUCAAUAAGGAAAUUAUGGCCAGUGUAAAAUGCUUGUGCUAAAAAACAAUGGGGAGAGGUCAGAUAUGGUUGGGAGACACGUCAGACCCUGAUGCAAGUCUGAUCCCAAGUGAGGAAGAGAGAAGAAAAUGGGAAGAAAGAAGUUUGGGUGGGACCUUGUAGACUUCACCACAGUCAAUGGAAGGUUCAGCAAAGCUAUGGAUAUCUUCCCAGGAGCGGGAUUGCUGGAUCACUUGGUAACUCUAUUCUUAGUUUUUCAAGGAAACUCCAUGCUGCUUUCCAUAGCUGCUGCACGAAUUUACAUGGAAUGCUUUGUCUUCUUGAGCUGGUCUGCCUUAGUAUUGCUACUGCACCUACUCAUUGUCUGGAAGUCACCUGUGAGAUGCAUGUCCUCAGCUCAGAUACUGAGGCUCCCAGUGUUACUGCUCAGGUUUAGACCUUCAUCGUAUUUAUGGUACAUUAUGUGCACUGCUGGCGUCUCUACAGGUGUCCCCCACCUCCCAGAGCUCCUCCCUAAUCAAUUUCGAGUGCUGCUGCCAGGUUAAUCUCUUUCAAAGGGCAGCUAUUGUACUAUUUCCAUUCUUAAAAUAAAAACCCUUCAGAGAUAUCUGCACACCCAUGUUCACUGCAGCAUUAUUCACAAGAGCCAAGAUUUGGAAGCAACGUAAGUGUCCAUUAGCAGAUGAAUGGAUAAAGAAGAUGUGGAAUAUUAAUCAGCCAUGAGAAAGAAGGGAAUCCUGCCAAGUGCAACAACAUGGAUGGACCUUGAGGGCAUUACACUACGUGAGAUGUCAGACAGAGAAAGAUAAAUACUGUAUGAUCUCACAUAUGCAGAACAGGAAAAAACUGAACUUGUAAAAACAGAGAGUAGAAUGCUGGUUACCAGGGCCCAGUGGUAGGGAGAUAUUUAAGUGUACAAACCCAAAACAGUUAUUUGCUCAUGGAUGAAUGAAAGAAAUGAGAUCAACUGAGUAGGCAGUCAAGAAAUAGAAGGACAAGGAGAGGUUGAUCAGACAGACAAAGGAGAAAAGGGAAUCACAGGCUGAGAAGAGCACGUGGGGAAGGCAUCCUUGUGUGAGCAGGACGUUCAGCAUAUGGAGGAACCGUGAGAAAAGCAGCUGAACAAGUAGAAGCCGAAUCACAAAAACUUCCCAUGUCACACUGAAGUUUGGACUAUAUUCUUUAGGCCAAGGGAAAUCAUACAAGGAAAUGGAAAGUUAAGAUUUUUAGACAGAUCUUUCUGGCAGAGCAGAGGUUGGCUGGGAGUAUGGGGAAGGGAUAGACAUGGUGGCAGUGGGGGCAGGGAGACCAGUUAGGAGGAGGCUAUUACAAUACUUCAGACAAGACACGGUUAGGGUUUGUCUUAAAACCAAAGCAAUGGGAAUGAAGCAGUGGAAGGAAUCUGAUAGUAUCUAGAAGCUUUAAGCAAAGGGACUUUGUAAUUGACUCUACACAGGCUGUGAAAGAGUGGCAGGAUGAGUCUUAGACAUUUGGUGGUGGUGCCAUCCAUGAGAGCAGUGUUUUAGGAAAGAUACUGAAUUCUGCUUUGGGACCUGAGUUGUGGGGAAAUAAUGGGACUCAUAAGCAAAUCGAAGAAAUGUGAUUCAAGAGAUAGCUAGAGAGCCGAGAGAGAGCUGAUUAUUACAUUGUACUUAACUGUGCUUUAUCUUUCCAUACCUUGGGCUAUCAUUCUUCCCUUCCAAUAAUUUUUUCAGGCUUCCAGAAUCUCCUAAUAUUCAUAUUCUGUAUGGAAGAUUGCUUUCAGAAUCCUCUAUUUUUUCCCAUAUGGAAAGGCUCCUUGACCUGCUGUACAUUUCAUGUGUUUUACUGAUCUUAUAGAGCCCAUCCCCAUCCCUUUUACCCCAAGGAUAAAAUUUAGAAAAAAACCUGGUAGGCCACUAGGUCAUUCUAACAGGAGAUUUUUUUUUUUUUUUUUUUUUUUUUCUGCGGUACGCAGGCCUCUCACUGCUGUGGCCUCUCCCGUUGCGGAGCACAGGCUCAGCGGUCAUGGCCCAAGGGCCUAGCCGCUCUGCGGCAUGUGGGAUCUUCCCGGACCGGGGCACAAACCCGCGUCCCCUGCAUCGGCAGGCGGACUCUCAACCACUGUGCCACCAGGGAAGCCCUAACAGGAGAUUAUUUUUCAACAUAUAUUGAGAACAUCUUGGACAUUCCAGAAUCCUUAAUGGGUAGCACUUUUCCUAUAUUUUUUUUGUAUCAAAUUGUGAACCAGCCUUUUUGGUGAGCAUGAGUAUAAAGCUUUAUAAAAUUGAAUUUGUGAAUUCCUAAAUACCAGUCAGAAUCUCUGACGAUAGUAUUUUCAUAAGCAAAAGAUGCCACCAUGCUCCUUAAAAAAGAAAAAAUCAAUGAACCUCUACAUUUCUAAAGCAGUACAUUAUCUUUCACAACCUUAGAGAGUUAUUUCUAAGGACAGGACUAGAGGUUUGGAUAGCAAAUUUAGUUGAUGUUUAAAGUAAAAAAAGAAAGAAAGAAAGAAAGAAAACAUUCUUACUUAACUGAAUAUUGACCUGUUUCUCCAUUCAAAAGCAAAUGUGGGAAUUCCCUGGUAGUCUAGUGGUUAGGACUUGGCACUUUCACUGCUGGGGCCCGGGUUCAAUCCCUGAUUAGGGAACUAAGAUUCUACAAGCGGUGCACCACACACACACACACACACAAAAGCAAAUGUGCCUGCAGAAAAAAGAGAAAUAUUACGUAUGAUAAACUCACAACCAACAUAAAACAGCUCACUGUCUCAAGAAAUUUACUUUAUCUUUUAAAGGAUAAAUUUAUCUUUAUGGGGGUCAUACAUUUUUUACAUGAGUAAAAAUUUCAGGAGAUUGCACCCAAUCCUGUCCCUUACCAGCACAAACUUGAAAAGUACCUUGUUCCUUAUUCAAACUUGUUUCUAAUGAAAAAGAACUCUUUUACAAGGCACCUUUCUGUGGUGCUCAAAUAUCAAUCAUAACCCUCCUGAAGUCAUCAUGUAACAUGCUGAAUCUUUCUUGCUUAUUAAACAGUAAAAUUUAAAUGCCCUCAUUUCAAUCUUAAUACUUGGGAUCCUGAAAUGGUCAAGAUCACUUACAAAUUUCAAACCCCAAGGGGCUAAAAUGGCCAACAAACAUGUAUGUGAGAAUCAUUGAUUUUUACCAGUGAUGUAAAAUCACCUCUAGGCCACAUAGUCUCGGAUAGAACUAAAUUGGUGCGUAAUUUCUCUUAAAGCACAAAGUGAGAAACUUUCAGCUGCAGGAGAAUUUCCAAAUUUCAGACAACACAGACUUACAUUGGAAUGUAUCCCAAGACCUUGGAACCGAUACUAAAAUUAUCUGUGACACAUAGGCCAGAAUUUAAGCACUUGAAUUCUCAGCACAGAGAUCAUCUUGUGUAGAUGACAAACAAAUUCACAGCCGCCAAGUUUUAUGAUUCAGUCAGGAGACAAUUUAUUGAAACUUUCCGCAUGAUCUCAGUAUCCUUGGACUUUACUGUGAAAAGCUGGGAAGUUGGAGAAAUAUUUCUUCCUCUACAAAACGAAGAUGACAGUACACCCCCCACACACCAAGGAUCAUUAUGAGGAUUAAGGAGACAUCAUUUAAAAUGGAUCCUGAUAUACAAUGAGAUUCAGUGGUGGACUAUGGUUAAAUGGUGAUUAAAUCUGUUACACAUGUGACUUCCUUUCUCUGUGUGAAGACCAUGUUAAGAAGAAAUUCUCAACUUAUGCUGAAGACAGCUUUCAACUCUCUUCAACAAUGAAGAAAGGAAAAAAUAUUCCACCUUCAUAAAAAGUUGCUGUUUAUGUUAAUCCUCCCUUUCUGUAAUGAGAUUUUAAAAAAUAUUUAGCUCCGAGACAAAACAGAAUGUCACUAGUUUCUUACGUGGAUCCUUGUCACCUGCUAAACAGUUCUAUCAUGGGACUUCCAAACACACUUUGUCAUUCCAUAGUUGACAUUUUUCUUUCUAACAUCUUUAUUGGAGUGUAAUUGCUUUACAGUGCUGUGUUAGUUUCUGCUUUAUAACAAAGUGAAUCAGCUAUACCUAUACAUAUAUCCCCAUAUCUCUUCCCUCUUGUGUCUCCCUCCCUCCCACCCUCCCUGUCCCACCCCUCUAGGUGGUCACAAAGCACCGAGCUGAUCUCCCUGUGCGAUGCGGCUACUUCCCCCUAGCUAUCUAUUUUACAUUUGGUAGUGUAUAUAUGUCCAUGCUACUCUCUCACUUUGUCACAGCUUACCCUUCCCCCUCCCCAUAUCCUCAAGUCCAUUCUCUAGGAGGUCUGCGUCUUUAUUCCCGUCUUGCCCCUAGGUUCUUCAUGACCUUUUUUUUUUAGAUUCCAUAUAUA